AGGCUGGUAUUCAGUGACAGUAUUGGAUGCUACUGAUGGUUCAAUACUAGUCCAACACAUACUCUCAUCUCCUCCUUUAUCCAAACCAGUCAUUAGUGACUUCACUGAUGAUUCAUCCAAUGACAUUAUAAUACAAACACAGCAUGGUCUGAUAGGAUUAUCACUGGUCCAUAGAUCAGGUUUCCUCCACUCCACUAUACUGUCAUUGUUUAUUGGGUUCAUUAUUGUCCUGGUGGCUGUGUACACUAGACAGAGAACUGGUUUC